GCACAUGUGUCCGAGUGGUAAGGAAGAGCAUUGCAAAUGCUUUAUUCGGGGGUUCGAAUCCCUCCAUGUGCUCCA
rnacentral:tRNA from 1 species